GAAUGGGUAGGUGUGUCCAAACUUUUGAUAGUUACGAUAUAUAUAUAUUUAUAUGUAUGUAUAUGUAUAUUACAUGAUAUAUUAUGUAUAUUAUAUAUAUAUAUAUAUAUAUAUAUGAUGUAUAUUAUCUCCUCAACAGUGAAGGGUUAAUAUAUUGUGCAGAGUAACAUUAACACAAAUUCAUCAUCAAAGAGACUUUUAUUAAUUUCUUCAUGUAAUUUCUCUCUUUCUAAGCCCUUUGAAUUGUACGUUUAGGAUAUCCACAUUAAAGUUUGCUUUUACUUCUUCUUUGAAUGGUGACCCAUUGAGUAGUAACUAUGGAAAGUAACAAGUUAUGCAACAAACGUGUCAUUUCCUUCAGCCACAGAUGUCUUGAGCAGUUAUUGCCCCAUUAAACUGGAACUCGCUGUAAAAAUAGACUUGGAACUAUAUCCUUACAUUUGUGGAUUUAAAUCUCUGGAUGAAUUACUGUUGGCUGUAUUCCUUUAAAAUAAAAACAUGUUUAAAAAAGAGAAAUAAAGAGAAAUAUUGCAAGGGGCUGUAGCUUUCUGUGUAAUUUACAAGUCACUGGGUUAUAUGUCUGCUUGUAUUUCAUCUGGAAUCAGAGGAUGUUGCCUUCCUUGUGAAGCUUGAUAUAUUUCACUAGUAACUGUGAUUGAAAAGAAAAUCUGAUGAUCAUUUGAUACUACAGAUGGAGGCUAUCACUUGCGGGUUGACUUUUAUUCAACGAAGGAAAAUUCUGUGUCUUGCAAACAGCAGUGCCACUUCUUCUGAAUGUCUGCAGUGACAGGCAGCUAGACAACAGACACCCCAUCAGGUGGCAUUUAUAUAGCCUGAAUUGUGCAUUGGAUUUGAACAGAUGACCAUCGCGUGAAUACUGGUUUUUAUACUUACUCAGAAUCAACACAGCUUCAUUGGCUUCAAGACAGUGUUAAAAAGCAGGUCAUCUGGCCCUUUCUGAUACAGAGAAUCAUGCACAUCACAGGAGCUGAAAGACUCAUCCUCAUUGGUGGUCUGCUGCAAGGUGGGUUGCUGUGGGAAAGGCUGGGUCUGAUGCACUGCUUUCUAGCAUCUCCCAUUGCACUUUACCAUUUACAUUUGAUAGGUUAUAGCUAUAGGUAGGUUGUAGCUAGGUAGAUAGGUUGUAGCUAGGUUGUAGCUAGGUUCCCAUCCAAUUGGUGACAGAUUUUGAUGUGAAUAUUUAAAAGUCUGCAUGAAGAAAAUAUGAGCUGCAAUGCGAUGGAAACACUAUGAACUUUAGAUUUAGAUUUGGUACAUGGAAAUUUAAGCGAAAAUGUACAUUUUGUGUGCACUAUGUCAUCAUGCACUGAAUUUUAUCCCCAAGUACUCCAUUUGGUGGAAACACCAAUGGUGGGAAAAUGCAUAUAUUGUCUUUAUCGGAUUUUAUAAUAUUCGAAUGAAAAUCUGUCGUCAAUUGGAUGUAAACCUAGCUACUGCCAUCAUGAUGCUUUGUUGUUAUACGAUAUGACUUUACUCGCAUAAAAACUGGAUGGAAACAUGAUUAGUGUUCUGAUCCUUAUUAAAAGCCCAGCGCAGUCAACAUUCAGUUUGUCCUGUGUUUAGUAUCAUAUUUAUACAACAGCUGAUGAAACUAACACUGUAAUAAUGUGAUUGGUGUUAUUUCCCGAUAGUGGCUGGUUGAAAUACAGGACCUUCUAAUCAGCAGGUUGUGCAUGGGUGGAGUUUUGUCUUGCCUAGUGACAUCACCAGGGGGUAAAGUGAAUAGACAAAUUCAAAGAGUGUUUCAAACCUCUCUGCCAAUAACUUAGUUUUAAGGUUACAUAUCCCUUCUCUGCUCAGGUGGAUUGAGCCACAUUGUGGUUAAUGCACCAUUAUGUGCCCUUUCCCACUCCCAGACAGUCCUAACACAAUUCUUGCUUGAGAAAUAAAAAAAAUAAAAAAUAACUUUAAAAACUUGUUUU